GAACUUAAAUGUAAACACUUUGCUCUGGUAAGAAGUGAAAGUGGCAUUGCUCCAUGACUGAGGGGUCAUGGGCAGUAACAGAGGCUGGUUAAUGGUGAUAACCCUUCACAAGCAGUGACCAAUCAGGACAGGCCAUGCUACAGCAAUAUCUUGAAUUGUUUUUAAGUCGCUCCACCAUCAGCAACAAAUUAGAUGGAAGCUUACACACACUGCUAAGAAACCAGCACUGAUUUUGUGGUGCUACAUAUUUAUAAGUGAUCAGAGCCAUUGACAGAAUUAUACUUCACUGUUUAUUUUAUGCAAGAUUUAACAAGGGAUGUCGUGACCUCUAUGUCUCAUAUGAAACACAAUUACGUUUUUUUUACCAGUCAUAAAAUAUUUAAAGUGCUGUUGUUAUGAAAAAUUAAAAUAGAAAGCUGAUGUUAUGCUAAGGCCUUGAUAUAUACAGUACUGUAACAAAAUGAAACACUAACCGUAUCAAUGCAGCUGUUUUUGUGGAUUUAACAUAUCAGUAAACAGAGACCAAAUAUUAAAACAGUAACACAUGCUACAUGAAGAAACCCGUGAACCUCAAAAAGCAUGACUUUCAAUUUCAUUCAUUGUAAGAAAAACGUAGAUCAUCAUCAUUUUUAAUCUUUCACACCUUAUCAAAGGAUGCUAUAGGCAAAUGUAUAUCAUGAAAACAGAGCAAUUCAUCUGCAGUAUUUUCAUGCCAACACCUGUCCUUGGUAGGAAUGAAAAGCUACUAACUUGUCGCAUUAAACAGCUGAACGAUAAAUAUCACAAAGGGAAUGUUCACGGUGGCAAAAAGAUUUUCUUUUAUAUAUACAGUAUGUAUUUGAGCCACUUUAUUAUCAAAUGUGUCUUUUAAAUGUUAUUGUUUUAUUUUUAUAUUGUGUAUAAUCUUACUAAAUGCUUUUUUAAUGCAGUGUACAGUAGGCAUGCAGCUACUAAAUGAAGGCUAUGGUCCUUUAAAUGCGAGAAACAGUAUUAAGCUUAAUUUUUAAGGUUCCAUGCAAUACUUCACAGAUAUGUAAUAGUAUGCAACACUUAAAUGACAUUUUUAAUUUUUUUAACUUUACAAUAUAAAUGGAAAAAUUAAGCCAAACACAUCAAAUAUACCGUCAAAAAUGUCGUCCUCCUGGUUUGUUGUUUUCCCAAUAUUGUUUCCUUAUCAACCUAUCUGAGAUGUAACAAUGAUGAACUGUAUGAAAUCUGUGAACACAGUGAUUUAAAUCAAAAGUUGCUUUCAUUGUGUCACAUGAGUCAAGAAACUAUUCCGCCCACCAGUCGACCCCAUCGAACACUUGAUUAAAUUUGUAAUAGUUUUACUGAGGUUGAUGUAUUAUGUGUCAACAGAGCUGCAGAGCCAAAACAGAACAAACCUUUACGUUGAGAUCCAAGCGACCCACAUGUGCUUUCAAUCUGGACACUCCCAGCACCCCACAGGCUUUUCUUUUCACUUUCACUCAACUGCUGUCAUGCAACACUUCCUUUUUUUCCCUAAAAUUGAAAUGCACAUUGUGUUUGGUUGUAGUCAUUUCUUUGGUCUAUGUUUUGUUUUGUUUUACACGGUCUAUUUGCUGAGUUCCUGAACACAGUUGAUACUCAUAUCAAAUUGGAGCAAAUGGUGCAAUAAUCCUGUAAGUGUAAUUCACUUUCCAUUAAGGUAAUAGAAGUUAAUGGACAUUCAUUUUAUGUGAUUAUACUCAUUUCUUUGAACACAUUGCUAAAUAAGAUAAAAUGUUCCUGUUUUCAAAUGCACUGACAUGCAAAGACAAAAGUCUCCUUUCAUUUAUUACACCUCCAUCCAUUCCCACAUUACUUUAUUAACUAUAGAGUUACAUCAAAGAUUGCAUUACUUCUUUAAACUUCAACCUUUUCUAUGUAUAAUGAGAUAAUUAUCUCAAUGACACAAAAAAUAUUUUGCAUUACAGUACAUGUGGAAACACUUUAUUAACCGCACUGUUUCAUGACGGAUUCAUGUUAAUGAAAUACAUAUGUAAUAACAAGUAAUUAGUUUUAUUAAUUAGACUUUAAGUGAUUUUAUGUUUAGUACAGUGGCCCCUGUGGAAACAUUUAACCCUUGCAGUGUUACUGCCACUGUCACUGCAUAAACUAUUUAGUGUAAUUAAAUUGACAAACACAUAGACUUCUUUGUCUUUGUGAAAAUAGAGCUUUUACAAAAAAUAUUGUAUGUGUAUUAUUUGGAACAAAUACACAUUCAGGUUCACAUGUAUCUCCACUAGUGAGUUUAUAAUCAAAGUAUGUUGUACUUUGGACCCCGAGACAAUGUGAAACAUUUCUUUUGAGGCAGCUUCUGACACAUAUCCUUCAUGCACGCAAAAUAAUAGUAUUAUUCUCUGUAUUGUCACUGUUUUCAAACCAAGAGGCAGUAUGUUAGGUAUGAUACUCAAUCCCUUUUUCAAUAAAGUCAUAUAAAAUAAA